rnacentral:rRNA from 1 species
UACGUAGGGUCCGAGCGUUGUCCGGAAUUAUUGGGCGUAAAGGGCUCGUAGGCGGUCCGUCAAGUCGGUUGUGAAACCUCAGGGCUCAACCCUGAGCUUGCAGUCGAUACUGGCGGACUUGAGGCAGGUAGGGGAGAGUGGAAUUCCCGGUGUAGCGGUGAAAUGCGCAGAUAUCGGGAGGAACACCAGUAGCGAAGGCGGCUCUCUGGGCCUGUCCUGACGCUGAGGAGCGAAAGCGUGGGUAGCAAACAGG